rnacentral:misc_RNA from 1 species
GCUACAUUGAUGAGGGCUUCCGGAAUGGCGACGUUUCGGGGGCCUUUUUCUUGCGUCUAUCCUUCUGGUUCCAAU